ACUGCAGACCGCCUUAUCGUCGUUUCGAUUUAUCGGAAGGGAGGAAAGUCCGGACACCAUAGAGAAGCAUAGCGGGUAACACCCGUCGGUAGGUUUUGAUUUAUUUCGAAAUUUGCAAGGACAAGUGCAACAGAAAGUAUGUACAGGUAAUGCUGUAGUGAAACCAGGUAAACUCUAUGCGGUGAAAUUUCAAGUAUAUCAGCAUUUAAGGGUUUCUCGUCCGUUGCUGAAGGGUAGAAAGAUUGAGCUUAUGAGUAAUUGUAAGUCUAGAUAAAUGAUAAGGGUCCUGAUUUUAUCGGGAUACAGAAUCCGGCUUAUAGGUCUGCAUUUUUU
rnacentral:RNase_P_RNA from 2 species